UACGUAGGUGGCAAGCGUUGUCCGGAUUUACUGGGCGUAAAGAGCGCGCAGGCGGUCGAUCGAGUCGCGUGUGAAAGCCCCCGGCUCAACUGGGGAGGGUCACGCGAUACUGAUCGACUCGAAGGCAGGAGAGGGUAGUGGAAUUCCCGGUGUAGUGGUGAAAUGCGUAGAUAUCGGGAGGAACACCAGUGGCGAAGGCGACUACCUGGCCUGUUCUUGACGCUGAGGCGCGAAAGCUAGGGGAGCAAACGGG
rnacentral:rRNA from 1 species